CCUGUUGGUGUCCUACCUCUUGGUAAAGACAACUCAUUUUAUUAUUCACAACUGAGGGAAAGGAAAGGGAAUAAUGAACUACCAGCAAGGUCGAUUGGUGAGGCUACAAUGAAUAUCAUUCGUGGUAACACAAAACUAGUCAACAUCAUCAAAUUGCAGCCAGAGAAAGGGAAGACCCUGUAUGCUGUUAGCUCAGUGAAGUGGGGAGUGGUACAUGAUGCUGAGAUUAAUAAGAAUAGUUGGAGGUUGUUUGGUUUGUUUAGGACGUUUCUCUCUUAUACCAGCACAGCAGUUAG